rnacentral:rRNA from 1 species
GACAGAGGGGGCAAGCGUUGCUCGGAAUUACUGGGCGUAAAGGGCGCGUAGGCGGCCGCCUAAGUCAGACGUGAAAUCCCUCGGCUCAACCGGGGAACUGCGUCUGAUACUGGGUGGCUUGAAUUCGGGAGAGGGAUGCGGAAUUCCAGGUGUAGCGGUGAAAUGCGUAGAUAUCUGGAGGAACACCGGUGGCGAAGGCGGCGUUCUGGACUGCAACUGACACUGAGGAACGAAAGCCAGGGGAGCAAACGGG